GCUAACGGCUGGCGGCGUGUCUUAGCCAUGCAAGUCGAGCGGACUUAUGGGGUAACUUAUAAGUCAGCGGCGGACGGCGGAGUAACACGUAGCUAACCUACCCUCUGGACGGGGAUAACCUACCGAAAGGUGGGCUAAUACCCGAUGUAGUCAUCCUAUAUAGGGGUGAUGAAAGGUGGGCUUCUGUUUACAAGCUCAUGCUGGAGGAGGGGGCUGCGGCCUAUCAGGUAGUUGGUAGGGUAAUAGCCUACCAAGCCGAUGACGGGUAGCCGGCCUGAGAGGGUGACCGGCCCGAGGGGCACUGAGAUACGGGUCCCACUCCUACGGGAGGCAGCAGGCUAGAAAUUUGGGCAAUGGGGGAAACCCUGACCCAGUGACGCCGCGUGCAGGAAGGAGCCCUUCGGGGUGUAAACUGCUGUCGUGUAGGGAGAAGGGUACUAAGGUGAACAAUCUUAGUACUUGACGGUACUACAGGAGGAAGCCCAGGCUAACCUCGUG
rnacentral:rRNA from 1 species